GUGACUAUAUCAGCCCACACAGCCAAGGAUCCGCUCCCGCAUCCUGAGGGAGGUGACACAUUUCCAGCAGGGACGUCCUGCAGUCCUGGUGCAGCCUGCGGGGGCAGAGGACGUCGUCGGAGCCGGGUCCCGUGCACUUGAUCAUCCAGGGAGGAACCCAGCCAGACCAGGAUGGUGGACCAGUGGACGGUGUUGUGGUGGUGCCUGAUGGUGAUCACUGCAGACGCGGGCCUCGCCAGCGGUGUGGAGGAGUGCUUCUUGUACCCCGUGAAGCAGGGGGAGCAAAGCCCCAGCGUCCCCCUCCAGGCCAGCGGCGACACCAUCAUCACCAUCAACAACAUCUACGACAACAACACCGUCACCACCAUCACUACUGACGAUGGUGACUGUGUGGCCCAGGUCCUUCAUAACAGCACUCGCCAACCGAGGGAAGAUGGCUGCCCUGUCCUCGACGCCAGCGCUGUCGACAUAAGGACCGGGACGUGGCAAGAGUUAAUGACGGUGGUGGUGCGUCGGGGAGGAGGGAGGACCAGCGUGUACCUGCGGGACUCCGGGGACGAGGAGCAGCAGGUCAAGGUCCACCUCGGAGACGCCAGCACCGUUCAUGUUGUGUCCCAGGAGUUCAUCAACGUUGCUUACGGCUGUUACGACGAGGUCGGGCUGGUCCAGGCAGAAGAGGCGGUGUUGUGGAGUGCGCUGGUGCUGGCAGUGGUGUGCUUGCUGCUGUUGCUGGUCACCAUCUUCCUCAAGGUCACUAUUGUACGUCGACAACCACCACCAUCUCGCCCCUCUCACCCCCACACCGUCCCCCACACCGUCACCUCUCUUCCAAAUAACGACCCUGCGAACCACACUUACGAAUACCUAGAACUUGAUCCUCUCUAAGAUGACUGUCACCAAGCCGGAAGACUUUCCAGGACCGUCACCGUCGCUCCCACAGACGAGGCGGGGAUGUUCCCUCGCGGAGGCUCGCCACAGACGACACCUGAAGGACAGGGGCCAGCGUCGCCUCCCAGCACGCAUGACACGCCAUCUGGGUCGACGAGAGCAUCUCUGAAAGAUUUAGUGGCCCGGGCCAUUUAGUAUAUCAUUUGUGUGACGUUGUGGCAACUGGAGAGGAGGAGAUGGUCUCACCAGUGGGCCUCGUAACGAAGUCUGGUGAAGGGUAGGGAUUCCGGUAGGUGUGUGAUCCUCUGGAGACCCGACGUACAAAUUUCAGGCGCUAAACCCAGCCCAUCCUCUCGAGGGCUCACAACAUCACUAAACUGAUGCACUAAAUUGCCCGAACCUAAGCGAACCGAGGACCCACGAAUAGAAAACGUGAGAUAACGUCAACCUUGUGAGCCGCUAAAAUUUUUAGCACAGUGCUUCCUGUACCCCGUGAAGAAGGGGGAGCCGAGCCCCAGCGUCCCCCUCCAGGCCAGCGGCGACACCAUCAUCACCAUCAACAACAUCUACGACAACAACACCAUC
rnacentral:misc_RNA from 1 species